rnacentral:rRNA from 1 species
UACGUAGGGGGCUAGCGUUGUCCGGAAUCAUUGGGCGUAAAGCGCGCGUAGGCGGCCAGAUAAGUCCGGUGUGAAAGUCAAAGGCUCAACCUUUGAAUGCCGCUGGAAACUGUCUGGCUUGAGUCCGGAAGGGGCGAGUGGAAUUCCUGGUGUAGCGGUGAAAUGCGCAGAUAUCAGGAGGAACACCCGUGGCGAAGGCGGCUCUCUGGGACGGUACUGACGCUGAGACGCGAAAGCGUGGGGAGCGAACAGG